AUACGGAGGGUGCAAGCGUUAAUCGGAAUUACUGGGCGUAAAGGGCGCGUAGGUGGCUCUGUAAGUCGGAUGUGAAAGCCCUGGGCUCAACCUGGGAAUGGCAUUCGAUACUGCAGAGCUAGAGUAUGGUAGAGGGAAGUGGAAUUUCCGGUGUAGCGGUGAAAUGCGUAGAUAUCGGAAGGAACACCAGUGGCGAAGGCGACUUCCUGGGCCAAUACUGACGCUGAGGUGCGAAAGCGUGGGGAGCAAACAGGAUUAGAUACCCCGGUAGUCC
rnacentral:rRNA from 1 species